rfam:Felis catus isolate Cinnamon breed Abyssinian chromosome A1, whole genome shotgun sequence.
GCCUGGCUGGCUCAGUUGAUAGAGCACGUGACUCUUGAUCUUGGGUCAUGUGUUCAAACCUCAUAUUGGGCC